AUGACAGCACGGGAGACUAAUAUUUGCUGAUUAGCCACAGAAAAGGUAAAGCAACAUGAACAACAGUUGUGCAGCCUUCCCCACACUACUCUGCCUCUGUGCCUCAACCUUACUUUAAUGGGACCAUAUCCUAGUGGCUGGAGGUAGUUCAGUCUCCAUGUCCAUUUGGUCCUUAGCCUCU
rnacentral:sRNA from 1 species